UUUACUGCAGUAACAGUCUCUAGAUUGUUAGGGGUGCAGGUGUGUGUUCCAAUCCAUGGUGAAUGAGUGACAUGUAGUGGAGUGCGAGUGAUUCAGUGUUAA